UGUUACGAGUCGGUUUGUCAGUCGAGGGGCAGCGCCGGUCAGCCAGUACUCUCAUUAGGUAGGGUAUACCCGUGUCCGCUGUCACGAACAAUCGCACAACAAAUACACCAAAUCUGCACAUCACUAAAAACAGCUCACUCCAAAACGUAUGUACAUAAAGGCCAGCGGCAAAAUUACGCAAAACAAAGAUGUAGGACGACACUUAUCCGAACGACAUGGACAUUCUCCUCUCGCAAUACACAUAUACAGGAUAUAUAACAACACAGGAACCGGACAACCGAACACUGCCAGAAGCUGUGGCCGAAAGCCACCAAAACAACACGAAUAAAUGUGUCAACAUGUUUAUACCCUGAACCCAUUAAAUAGCCUCUGUCCACUGAA